UGUUGUGGCAACAGAUGAUGAAAAUAUAGUUGAGUGCUGUCAAGGUUUUGGUGUUGAAGUAAUAAUGACCUCUAAAUCAUGUAGAAAUGGUAAUGAUAUUAUCCUCGUUUUCUUAAUCUUAAAUUUUGCUACUUCUGUGAAUUUCGUCUGUUAAAUUGCUAAUGCUCAGUUCUUAAAUUCGAGGAACCGAGCGUUGCAAUGAAGCUCUUCAAAAGCUUGGGAAUAAAUAUGACAUUGUCGUUAACAUACAAAGAGAUGAACCUCUUAUUGAACCUG
rnacentral:misc_RNA from 1 species